UGACCUCGGAUCAGGUAGGGAAUACCCGCUGAACUUUAAGCAUAUCAUAAAGCCGGAAAAAAGAA
rnacentral:rRNA from 1 species